GGCCCGAAUUUGGGGUAAAGCAGAUUAGAAGGAUCAUCUGACCCUACUAAACUACUCUACUUCGAGUUUGUGCCC
rfam:Haemonchus placei strain MHpl1 genome assembly, scaffold: HPLM_scaffold0000095